rnacentral:lncRNA from 1 species
AUUAGGGAUCAAGCUUUAGCAUCAUCCUAAUUGAUUUGUUUCCCUCCCAACCAAACCCCUUCCUCUGAAGGAAAGGGAAAUGGUGGAACCCUCCUGUUUUACCUCAAAGAAAAAAAAGCAAAAAGACAUCAGAAGCUGCAGAAAUGGGAAUUUAUAGCAUAGACAGAAGCCUCUUCUAUAGGGUCUCUCUAGCCAAAGUUAGAACUAGACUCAAAAAUGCCAACAUGGGAGAAAUGUGAUCAUCUAAAUGACGUUCAUGUUAAUUGUGUUACUUGGCCACCCUUGGCCAAGUUUUCUAAUAAAGCCUAGAUAGAUAAACUAGAUAAAUAGCAAGCUUAUGUAAACAGAUGAUUUUUAUAAACUCUAUUAACUAGCACACUUGGGAGUCUAAAUUAUUGAAUACUGAUCGUAAGACUGUUCAAAGGAUGACCACACAUCCUUUAUCUUUCUGUUCCAAGUCUGUCUAUAAACAGCAUUAUCCUAUAAUAUAUAGGUC